rnacentral:lncRNA from 1 species
UCGGGCUCCCAGCAUGGGGCCUGCUUCUCCCUCUGCCUGUGUCUCUGCCUCUCUGUAUCAUGAACAAAUAAAUCUUUAAAAAUAAAGAGCAAAAUGUAAAAGCGAGAGAGAAUUGAAUCAUCACAAGGCAUCCUCAACAAGAUUAAUUAACUUGAAGCCAGCCAUAUGGAGAAAUGACCUAGAUAAAGGUAAAUACAUAGGCAAUUAUAAAAGGUCACAUUGUACAAUUAGCCUGUAACUACUUUUUGCUGUGUGAUUUAAGAGACUAAUGCAAAGAAAACAACUAUUAAUGUAAAAGGUAGUUUCACUACCUUUGGUUUGUAACUCCAAAUCUUGUUUUCUACAUGACUUGGGAGACUAAUGCAUUGUUCUGGGGCACACAUUGUAUAAAGAUGUAAUUAUAGUGCAGCCCGGGUGGCUCAGCAGUUGGGCAUCUGCCUUCAACUCCGUGCAUGAUCACAGGGUCUGGGAUCAAGCCCCGCAUCAGGCUUCCUGCAUGGAGCCUGCUUCUCCCUCUGCCUGUGUCUCUGCCUCUUUCUGUGUCUCUCAUGAAUAAAAUCUUAAAAAAAAAAAAAAAAAGAAAAAUUCCUAGAAACAGAAAAACUAUGGAGACUGAAUCACAAAGAAAGAUUCGUAUUAUAUCAGUAAUCAAAAAUCACCUGACAAAAGCCCAGGACCUGAAGGCUUCACUGGUGAAUUCUACGAAACAUUUAAACAUCUUUAAUUUUAAGAUUAUUUGAGAGAGAAAGCACUCGAGCAGGGGGACCGACCGAGGGGGAGGGAAAAGCAGGCUCCCUGCUGAACAGGAAGCUCAAUCCCAGGACUUAGGGAUCAUGACAAGUCACAGGCAGAUGCUUAACCUAUGAGCCACAGAUGCCUCUACCAAACAUUUAAAGAACUACUACAAUACUUCUCAAACUUUUCCAAAAAAUUGAAGAGGGGGGAAUGCUUCCUAACUUCUAUGAAGCCAGACAAAGAUAUUACAAGAUAACUACAGACUGAUAUCCCUUUUGAACAUGGAUGCAAAAAUCCUCAGCAAACUAGAAGCAAAUAGAAUUGAGCAGCAUUUCAAAAGGAUUACACACAUAGGGACACCUGGGUGGCUCAGUAAUUGGGCCUCUGCCUUUGGCUUGGAGUGUGAUCCUAGAGUCCCAGGAUCGUGUCCCACAUGGGGCUCCCUGCAUGGAGCCUGCUUCUCACUUUGCCUAAUUCUCUGCCUCUCUCUGUCUCUCAUGAAUAAAUAAAAUCUAAAAAAUUACCAUAUCCAAGUGAGAUUUAUUCUUGGAAUGUCAGAAUGAUAGAGGUAAUUAAUAUACCACAUGAACAAAAUGAAAAAAAAAAACACCCACAUAAUGCAGAGAAAUCAUCUGACAAAAUUUAAGACUGUUUCAUUAUAAAAAAAAAACUCAAUAAAAUAGGAAAAGAAGGAAACUACUUCCACCUAAUAAAAACUGUAUAUGAAAAAUCCACAGCAAACAUAAUACUGAUGAAAGACUGACUUUCCUCUAAGAUCAGGAACAAGACAAGGAUACCCACUUUUACCACUUCUACUUAACACAGUAGUGGAAGUUGUAGUCUGAGCCAUUCGGCAAUAAAAAUAAAAGGCAUCCAAAAUGGAAGAAAAGUAAAACUGUCAGAUAUCUUUUUUUUUUAAGAUUAUUUAUUUGAGACAGAGAGGCAGAGACACAGGAGGAGGGAGAAGCAGGCUCUAUGCCAGGAGCCCAACGUGGGACUCGAUCCAGGAUCAGGCCCUGGGCCAAAGGCAGGCGCUGAACUGCUGAGCCACCCAGGGAUCCCCAGAUAAUAUCUUAAUAUAUAGAAAAUCCUGGAAUCCACAAAGAAACUGUUGGGAGUACAUGAACUCAGCAAAGUAGCAGGAUACAAAGUCAGUACACAAAAAUCAAAUGCAUUUCUAUAUGCAAACAACAAUCUGAAAAGGAAAUUAUAAAAACAAUUAUGUUUAUAACAAAGAAAGAAUAAAAUACUUAGGAAUUAACCAAGGAGGUGAAAGACCUGUACAAUGAAAACUACAAAAUGCUGCAAAGAUGACACAAAUAAAUGGAAAUAUAUCCUAUGUUCAUGGAUUGGAACAAUAUUAUCAAUACUACCCAAAGUGAUCCAUGAUUCAAUACAAUCCCUACCAAAUCCCAGUGACUUUAUUGCAGAAAUAGAAAAACCAUCCUAAAAUUGUUAAGCAAUCUCAAGGGACCUCAAAUAGCCAAAACAUUCUUGAAAAAGAAAAACAAAACUAGAGGACUCACACUUCCUGAUUUCAAAACCUACUACACCAAGCUUCAGUAAUCGAAACAGUAUGGAAUGGGCAUUAAGAACAGACUAUAGAGGGCAGCCCCAGUGGCCCAAUGGCUUAGUGCCGCCUUCGGCCCGGGGUGUGAUCCUGGAGACCUGGGAUCAAGUCCCACAUCAGGCUCCCUCUCUCUCCCUCUGCCUGUGUCUCUGCCUCUCUCUCUCUGUGUAUGUCUCUCAUGAAUAAAUAAAAUCUUUGGGGAGGAAAAAAAAAAAAAAGACAGACUAUAGACAGAUGGAACAGAAU